rnacentral:misc_RNA from 1 species
GAUGAAGAACGUAGUGAAAUGCGAUAACUAAUGUGAAUUGCAGAAUUCAGUGAAUCAUCGAAUCUUUGAACGCACAUUGCGCCCGCCAGUAUUCUGGCGGGCAUGCCUGUCUGAGCGUCAUUUCAACCCUCAUGCCCCUAGGGCGUGGUGUUGGGGAUCGGCCAAAGCCCGCGAGGGACGGCCGGCCCCUAAAUCUAGUGGCGGACCCGUCGUGGCCUCCUCUGCGAAGUAGUGAUAUUCCGCAUCGGAGAGCGACGAGCCCCUGCCGUUAAACCCCCAACUUUCCAAGGUUGACCUCAGAUCAGGUAGGAAUACCCGCUGAACUUAAGCAUAUCAAUAAGCGGAGGA